GGGGAAUUAGCUCAAAUGGUAGAGCGCCCGCUCAACAUGCGGGAGGUAUCGGGAUCGAUGCCCGGAUUCUCCA
rnacentral:tRNA from 1 species